AUAACACUUAGAAAUAGGUGCUAAUACCGCGUAAGCGCACAGAGCCGCAUGGCUCAGUGUGAAAAACUCCGGUGGUGUAAGAUGGAUCCGCGUCUGAUUAGCUGGUUGGCGGGGUAGAAGCCCACCAAGGCGACGAUCAGUAGCCGGCCUGAGAGGGUGAACGGCCACAUUGGGACUGAGACACGGCCCAAACUCCUACGGGAGGCAGCAGUGGGGAAUAUUGCACAAUGGGGGAAACCCUGAUGCAGCAACGCCGCGUGAGUGAAGAAGUCAUUCGUGAUGUAAAGCUCUAUCAGCAGGGAAGAAAAUGACGGUACCUGAGUAAGAAGCCCCGGCUAACUACGUGCCAGCAGCCGCGGUAAUACGUAGGGGGCAAGCGUUAUCCGGAUUUACUGGGUGUAAAGGGAGCGUAGACGGCCAGACAAGUCUGAAGUGAAAAUCCAGCGCUUAACGUUGGAAGUGCUUUGGAAACUGCCGGGCUAGAGUGCAGGAGGGGCAGGCGGAAUUCCUAGUGUAGCGGUGAAAUGCGUAGAUAUUAGGAGGAACACCAGUGGCGAAGGCGGCCUGCUGGACUGCAACUGACGUUGAGGCUCGAAGGCGUGGGGAGCAAACAGGAUUAGAUACCCUGGUAGUCCACGCGGUAAACGAUGAUUACUAGGUGUCGGGGGGCUAGAGCCCUUCGGUG
rnacentral:rRNA from 1 species